UUCAGUAAAGCAGGUAAAACUGAUGUCAUAUCUCCUAGCUUUGCAAUAGAUCGGAAUGUGCAUCUUGGUGUCUGAAUCAGCGUUCCGCCACGCUAUACAAGCCCAGGAUGCUCAUCACUCACCGUCACAGAACAACGGUAUGCGCGCUGAGAGAGCCGCUCGCUAUGCCAAGCAUGGCGACGUAAGCGCUCUCGUUUAAACUUCAUCGCAACAGGACGGGGUGAGUAUUUAUGGCUGGCCUUCUUUUACAGCUAAGGAAUUUGAGGUCCAAAGAGGGUAAAGUAACUUUGCAAAGGCCACAGCAGUCAGUGCCAGAGUCAGGUGGAAACCUAGAUCUGGUCCUGCACGGGAGAAGAGGGCAGGUGGAGGAUUGGCGUUGCAGCUCAGCAGGCAGAAUGCUCGCCUAGCAUGCCCAGGGUCCCGGACUUGUCCCCAGAACUGCAUUACUGGGCACAGUGUCCCAUGCUGUGUUCCAGCACCCACCGAGCAGAGGGAGGAAGGCCAGAAGGUUUAGGUCAUUCUCAGCUAUACAGCGAGUUUGGGGCCAGCCUGGGAGACCCAGAUCGGGGGCGGGGUGAGGAGCAGUGAAGAGUCUAGGGGGUGAACCUCACAACUGCUGCCCCGGACUCCGCAUGCUGAACACUGCAGUGAGAGGACUGAUGGGAAGAGGGCAGCGUGGUGCCUAAGUAGGAGUGGUCGAGGCUCCGUGUGCCCACGGGACGUCAUCUCAGAGGGCCUCUUCCUGGGCCAGGCUCAGAGGCAGUGUGACUGCCCGGCUGAUGUGUGUACUAAAGGGUGGGGUCCAUGUAUUAGGAGUGGCUGGGUUGGGCCGGACUGGCCUUUGUGAUGCUUCCCACGGAGAAGCUGGUGAUUCAUUGCCCUCCCCAGGCUGCCCAGCCACUCUCAGGGCACAACUUGUGAACAAGUCAGAAACUGUCAUCUGGGCCAGAGAGAAAGACGGGGAGAUGAGGGGGCUUCUAAGGCCACCCCCAGUCUCCUGCCGACCCCAAAUCUUACCUUCUGAACUACAUACUGGACCCAUACUGUUCAUAACUCAGAACCUCCCUCACCUGUGGCUGGAAACCUUCCUUCACCCAAUUUCUGAACUUUUUUUUUUUCUGGAAAGUUCUAGAAACUCUACUCUCCUGGGCUGGCUCUGAGGUACAACUACUUCAGUGCAAAGUAGGGGUUCUGCUGCCUGGAGUACUCUCGGGGUACUUCUGGGAGGUGCGCAGCAAUAAAUCAAUCCGCGUGAACCAUUAAUCAAUACUUUCCGGAAGUUUGGUCAGGCCAAUGCAGGUUUGUCGUCCUAGUAAAUAGGUCUGGGUUCCUCAGACUAAAGAAAACAAGAGGCAUAGCCUAGCCCAUGAGGCACCUGAAAACCCGCAAUCACCAUAACAGCACAAUUAGAGGAAGAAUUAAGUGUCAAACUGUGAGAGUCUCCCUUGGCCCAGCAGGACUUUCAAAAUGACGGACCUUCAGAAGCUUCCAGAAAGAAGCCUGGGGAGGGUCCUGUGAGGACCUGGGAUGUAGUCCUGUCUGUGCCUGCACUGUCUUUCAAAGCAGCUGGGUGACUCAGGAAGCCAAACAAGGUACUUGAGCCCCCAUUUUCUCAUCUGCACAACAGGAAUGAGAAGGAAGAGUUGUCCUGCCUGCCAUCUAACAAGUGAGGGCCAGUCUAAGAGGAGCGGCUGGCCUUGGGGUGCAGGAAGGCUUUUGGGACACUGGGUCCCAUCAGUUGCUGAGUUUGCCCUUACUGCACAAGCACUCCAGACACCUGGAAGAGAUGGGCCCGUGCUUCCCAACUCUUGUAAGAUCGGAAGAACGGGACUGAAUGAGGUGGGCAGGGGUGAGGGGUGUCUGACAAGGCCCACAAUGGCUAAAGUCAAACCCCCACACUGGAGCCCUAAGGUGGAGCAGCUGGCGAGGGAGAGUCUUUCAGACAGGGGAUCCUGCCUGCACCCCCUGCAGAGCAGGUACAGCCGAGGGAAGCGGAAGAGUUUAUACACUCAGCCAGGAUGCCGGGCGGAGAGAGGCUUGGCCACCUGUACUGGAUUUCCAGAUCUGCUCCACUGGAUAAGCGUGUGACUGCUCACCUCAUAUCUUCCAAUGUUUUACUGUGCUCUGCCGCUUCAUCCUCAGCCACUGCUGCUGUGACUUACGGGGGUCCCAGCCACACUUCUUAGCACACAGAGUGCGCUUUGCAAACAAGGCUGCCUGCCCAUCACUAUCGCCAUGCUUCUGGACAAAGCGACACCCAGUGCCUUUCUCCUCUCACGUUCCGCUGAGGGAAACUGAGAAAACCAAUUUCCUCUCAAUACCCUGCGGAUGAACUCGGGCUAGCUUUCCAGGGGCUCGUGAAAUAAUAACAACAUUCUUUCCUUGCUUUCGUGCCAAGUACCGUGAAGCAGAUCUUAGGCACACCUCAAGGAUGCUACUAUCUCCACUGUUUAGAAGAGUAGGCAGGGAACUCUGCCAGGCUCACAGACACCUGGAAACUCUACGCUGAGGCGGGCACCUCACAGCUCACUGCCAGAGCCCUGGCAUAGACUGCCUGCCUCUUGGGAAAAAUCAUUAGUAAGAUUUGGGGAGAGUCUAUUGUUUGGAUGCUGGACCACAGUGUGGGUGUUGUUAGGAGACCUGAGCCUCCCCCCCCCCGCCCCCCAGCACAUAGUGAGCUCUCUGAGACAGCACAACCUCCCAUGUCACUGGGGACAGUCAUGGAGGAGAGAGCAAAGGCUCAGCUUGUCCUGCAGAGAGUCAGGACAGAAGCCACAGAAAAGGCUGCAGGCCUAUCUAACAGCAAGAGUCAGAACCCUUGACUGGCAGGCAAGUCAGGCCCUGCAGCAGCUGAGCCAGGCUGAGUCUCCCAGGUUUGCUGGGUCUGUAGAGAGAUCUGUGCUCUGACUAGCUGCAGAGCUCCUGGGGUGGGGGACGGCUUUCUGAUUAGCUUCCACGUCUAGAGUCUGUUACUUAUUUUGCCCUCCUUAUUUUGUCUCAGUGCUUGCUGCAGGAGAGCAAGCUAUCCCAUGUCAUAGGCAGGGCCACUGUCCUGCAGAAGGCAUGCAGCAAGUAGUUAACAAUGGUGGGGGCGUCUGAGUAGCACAGCCCCACUCCCCACCCCCGCCAGCUACAAGGGCCUCCUUCACCAGCAAGAACAUGCUCUCUGGAACUGGCUGGAAAACCCCUCUCCACCCGGCUCUCUUUUGUAAACAAAGCCAGUCA